rnacentral:tRNA from 1 species
GAGGGUAUAGCUCAAGUGGUAGGGUGCAUGUUUGGUAUGCAUGGGGCCCUGGGUUCAAGCCCCAGGACCUCA